UGGGGAAUAUUGCACAAUGGGCGCAAGCCUGAUGCAGCCAUGCCGCGUGUGUGAAGAAGGCCUUCGGGUUGUAAAGCACUUUCAGCGAGGAGGAAGGUGGUGAACUUAAUACGUUCAUCAAUUGACGUUACUCGCAGAAGAAGCACCGGCUAACUCCGUGCCAGCAGCCGCGGUAAUACGGAGGGUGCAAGCGUUAAUCGGAAUUACUGGGCGUAAAGCGCACGCAGGCGGUUUGUUAAGUCAGAUGUGAAAUCCCCGGGCUCAACCUGGGAACUGCAUUUGAAACUGGCAAGCUAGAGUCUCGUAGAGGGGGGUAGAAUUCCAGGUGUAGCGGUGAAACGCGUAGAGAUCUGGAGGAAUACCGGUGGCGAAGGCGGCCCCCUGGACGAAGACUGACGCUCAGGUGCGAAAGCGUGGGGAGCAAACAGGAUUAGAUACCCCUGGUAGUCCACGCUGUAAAACGAUGUCGAUUUUGGAGGUUGUGCCCUUGAGGCGUGGCUUCCGGAGCUAACGCGUUAAAUCGACCGCCUGGGGAGUACGGCCGCAAGGUUAAAACUUAAAUGAAUUGACGGGGUCAUAGCUGUUUCCUG
rnacentral:rRNA from 1 species